rnacentral:lncRNA from 1 species
GCGGGUUCCCUGGCCAUGCCCAGCGGGCCGAGGGAAAGGCUCCGACGGGGCUGCCCGGGUCCUGGCGCACGUCUGCGGACCGACCCUGGGCAUGAAAAGGUCACAGCCGCCAGGGCUGCGUCUCCGACGGUGGCCACCCUAGGUGUGCCGAUCCCGAGAAGCCGGGACCCCGGGUAACCGGCUGCUCAGCGAAGCCUGCCCCCUCCUCGAGUCCGACGGCAGGGCUUCCCGGUCCUGGGAACCCUGUCUGGGCGCUGCUGACCCAUCUCUCUUGUCGGAUGUCAGAGGGGCUAAUGUGGUUUCCAAAACUGGGAGAGAGGACGAAAGGAAGAGCCUGCGCUCUGUACUUGCUUCAAGGAGACGCAAGAAUCAGAGAACUGGCCCCCGCCCAAGACUGUAAGUGAUGGUCCAAGGAUGGGGUGUACCUGUGGGAACUUUGUGUUGCCUGAAGAGGACCCUGGUUUCAGGACUGGGGUCACACAGUACAGGUGCCCUGGCUGAUGGGCGCAGCCUCACCAGGAACUGCCAAGGUGGUCAUACCCCAAGAGGCCUUCAGGUGUGGUUGGUAGCGAAGGAGGGGCCUCUUUGCCUCAGGUGGAACAGCUUUGCAGUGGCAGUCAUGCUCUGUGGCUGCCCGUGGGAUCAGGCUGAGUUUUCUCUGUCCUCCAGAAAUCUUUAUGAGUAGCUGCUCAAAAGGAUGGGAAGCACUUGGCGUAAUAGUCCUAAGAAAAUCAUCCUGUCUCAACCAGAGCUUGAUCUUCUGCCUGCUGCUCUCAGGCUUGAUCAUGAGACUUGCUUUGGCCAACAACCUGCGAGUGGAGGUGAUAUUUGCUGUUUCUGGGCAGAAGCUCUAAGAGCUAGCCCAUAGUUCUCCACGUCCUCUCCCUGCAUCUGUCUUUGUUAGGAUGUCAGCUUGGGUUCUCAGUGAUUCAAAGCUGGUUGUUGACCCAGGAUGGAUGUGCACGAUUUUUAUUGUAUUCUUGCACAGAGAGUACAAGAGCAAUAUCAAGAAACACACAGCUCUAAGAUUCAUAAGUUGAACUCCAGCCCCCAGCCUGGCCGCGUUUGGAGAUGGGAAUUCUUAGGAAGUUAAGUGAGCUCUAAGGGUGGGGUCCCCGCCUCAUAGGAAUAGUGUCUUCUACGAGGAGACACCAGAGGGCGCUCUCGAUGCUCCCACUCCGAGGAAAGGCGAGGGGAGGACCCAGCGAGAAGGUGACCGGCGGCCUGCAAGGGGAAAGAGCCCUCAUCAGGAAUUGCAUCAGCCAGCACCUUGAUCUUGGACUUCUAGCCUUCAGAACUAUGAGGAAAUGAAUUUCUGCUGUUUAUGUCACUCGAUCUACAGUAUUUUGUCAUAACAGCCCAAAAUGCAAUUCAUACAAAAGGAAGUAUUUCAGAGAAGACUAUCAUGACUUUUUUUUGGCCAAGCCUGUGGAAGUUCCUUGGCCAGCAGUAGCCCUGUGAUCAGUGACAAAGCCAAGUCCUUAACCUCUAGGGCACCAGGGUUUAUGGUGAAACUGGAGCAGUGAAUUCUGGUGGAAUUACUUGGGAAUACAGGCAUAUGCAUGACAGUCUGGGGAAGCCAUGUUUGUGUUGUUCGAGGUGAAGAAUUAUCAUCAAUAUGCUGCUUACAUCAUAGGCUGUCCAGUGAAGAUGAAGUUUCCAACAAGGGCCUAGAAGCUCAUGAGCAUAAAGUGCUGGUGCCCUCUCAGGAAGGCUGUGAGCUGGAAGUCACUGCCAGAGAUCGAAUCCACAACCUCAUGGUUCCUAGUCAAAUUCAUUUCUGCUGCGCCAUGACCGGAACUCCGGAUUCUGUGUUUUUAAUGAAUGCACCUGAGGAAUUUUUAUGAUGGUAAGUUUGGUAAACACUGCUUUAGUCCCGCCCAGGUUGGGAUCAGAAUUCUCUUACCCAAAAGGCUGGGCAAGAUUGAGAAGCAGGGCUUCUGGUUUCAGAGGGACAUACAAGCAGUCUGUUAGGAGGCAUCCUGGAGCUAGGAUGCUGUCUGGGGGAGCGGGCUGCCACUUCCUGGGUGCUGGAUUUAGAGGACUGAGGUGUUCACAGUGAGGCUCCGGUGCUCAUGGGAACCGAGGUGACCCUGAGGGAGAGAAUGGCAGUCACGCAUCCCAGCCACAGGUGAGGGCUCUUGACGCAAACGGAAGAUUUAGGCUGGGUAGGAUUCCUAUCUCAUGGCCCAGGGAGGCUGUGGGGAAAGGCCGCUCACUCGUGGGUCAACAGCAGGGGGCGUCUCUCCUGAAAAGGAUCUUGUUCUUGGAUGGUAACCACUGGGGUGAACGGACGGUCCUUAGGAAACCAGAGCUCACCACGGAGACUAGACAGGCAGCGAGGUAACCAGUGUGUUUCAAGCCUUUCUCGUUGGGGUCCAGAUGCGAAAGGAGCUGGUGUCCUUGAAGUUCACGGUCUUGAGUUCAUCAGGGUGGCGGUGGGUGUGCCCUGGGAUAGCUGUCCCUAAGAAGAAGGGAGGACCUGAGCCGGGUGGCGCCGAGGAGCCCCUUCCCGAGGAGCCCCUUCCCACCUGGGAGCCCGCCGCCCUGGAGGGUGCCCUUGGGGUGGAUCUUCCUCAGGUGAGACCAGAGCAGGCAGGUCGAGGUGGGCGUGAGAUGUAAGGGAAUGAUUGGUUGUUUGAUCGGCCCAGAGUGGGACUUAUUGGACCGAGAGGUAAUGCUUUUGGCUCUGAUGGUUCCUAGAAACGGAAUGUUUGUGGCCCCACCGGCCCCCUAUUCAUAGUUUGAAACCUAAUCCCCAAUGUGAAGGUGUUUGGAGGCCCUGGGAGGCGAUUAGGGCAUCAGGGUGGGGCCGAUGCGGAUGGAUUCGUGCCCUUGUAAGCGGAGGAAGAGUCGGAGUUCUCCCAUCGCUGCCUGAGGACGAGGCAAGAACACGGGCUCAGGGAACAGUGAGCUGGCCCUCACCAGACUCAGAAUCUGCUUGAUCCUGGACUUUCCAGCCUCUAGGACUGUGAGAAAUAAAUGUCUGCUGUUUAUAA